rnacentral:rRNA from 1 species
UACGUAGGGGGCAAGCGUUAUCCGGAUUUACUGGGUGUAAAGGGAGCGUAGGUGGCAUGGUAAGCCAGAAGUGAAACCCGGGGCUCAACCCCGCGGAUUGCUUUUGGAACUAUCAGGCUGGAGUGCUGGAGGGGUAAGCGGAAUUCCUAGUGUAGCGGUGAAAUGCGUAGAUAUUAGGAGGAACACCGGUGGCGAAGGCGGCUUACUGGACAGAAACUGACACUGAGGCUCGAAAGCGUGGGGAGCAAACAGG